rnacentral:rRNA from 1 species
GGCGGAAUGCCCACCUCGAGCUCCACCGUGGUCGAGGUCGCCGGCGGUUGGACUUGGACGAGCGGGAGCGCGAGCCCUUCCAAGGAUAAUUUUCAGGUAAAGUAAAAAAAAGGUUGCUAUUUUGAGGGAGGAUAAUUCCAAGGAAUCAAGCGAUUUGCACACGUGUCGAUCUGCGGGUCCGGCUUGGCAGCAAAAUCCAUGGUGCAGCGCGCGCGCCUUAUCCUCGCUCGCUCGCUCGCUACAGCAGCCUCCACUCCUCUCCCCUCUCUCCAUAACCAUAUCACUCACUGUCUCACUCAAUCAGUCGGCCGCUGUUGCUCCCUGCUCUGCUCUGCUGGAGUAGGAGCAUGGGAAGUAGGAGUAGGUAGGUGGUAAAAGGGGAGGGAAUCAUCAUCGCUGAUCCCUCAUCUAGUGAACACGAUCUCCCUCACCAAUCAAAACACCUCUGAUGAAAACGGAUAGGACAGGAGGAGGAGGAGGGCACUGAACCAGACAGACACCUGUGACUGUGAGCUGCUGCUUCUUCUUCUUCUUCCCCGGACAUGAAUUCCAGCCGGAGCCUGCUCUCGUCGCCGCUCUUCCCCACCUCCUCUCCAAACUUCAGGUCCUCCCCAUCCCCCUCCCGCGCAUCAGUUCCGAUGAUACACGACAGCACGGGCAGAGCAUCCACGGCGUGCCACUACUCGCCCUCGCUCGUGGCCGAGGAGCAGCAGGCCCAUGGCUCUGUGGCUUUGAAGGGCGAGAAGGCCUUGCUGGAGUUCCUGCUGGACAUGGCCUUGGAGCAGCACACGGAAGGGAAGACUUUCAAAGGCGAAGACGGGGCAGAGGGCGAGUUCGAGAGCUAUCUGCGAGGCCUGCAGCGGCAAGUCAUUUACCAGCAGGCCUUUGGUCAAAAGAACAACUUUACCUCUGCAAUCACUUCAACUUCAACGCCAUCGGCAAAAUCAGUUCCAACUUUGGAUCUUAAGACAACCUCGGCAACCUUGAUGAAGGAGGUGGCCUUUUUGGCAGAUGGAUCAAGCCCUUCAACCACCCAGCUGAAUGUACCACCAACGCUUGCAACCAGUGUGGAGUCCACCCACCCGUACGAGAAGCUGCUGAGCAAUGGGCAAGUGUUUAUUCGGUCUACACGGUUGCUCGAGAGGAGAUCCAAGAAGCGGAAUGUUCCUCAGGCAUCAACAAGCAGUACUGAUGUUGUGCAGUGCAGUGUUGCUGAUUCAAAGAAGAAAGAGAAGCCAAAGAAGUAUGGCAGGGUUCUCGGUCCAGAUGAACCCUUCAGGUUGUUCCUACGAGACCGCGAGACGACAGAGUUCUUGACGGCAAAGGAAGAGAGACACCUGUUCAGUCAAAUACAGAACCUUAUGAAACUAGAGGAGGCUCAGCGUAGGCUAGAAGCACAGUGUGGCCGCGAGCCGACGCUUCCGGAGUGGGCUCAGGCCGUAGGAAUGAGCUGCAAGGAACUGCAGUCGUCCAUACACAUGGGAAGGCGCUGCAGGGAGAAGAUGGCCCGCUCCAACUUCCGCCUUGUGAUACACGUAGCUAGGAAAUACCAGGGAUAUGGCCUUGACAUUGAGGACCUAGUUCAGGACGGAUGCUGUGGGUUGAUGAAAACCUUCGAGAAAUUCAAUCCAAGCAAGGGAUGCAGGUUCCCCACGUAUGCGUACUGGUGGAUACGCCAAGCGAUCAAAAAGUCUAUCUUCAAGCAUUCGAGACUGAUUCGGUUGCCGGAGAGUGUGUAUGCACGUCUGAAAAAGGUGGGGAAAGCAAGGCUGGAGUGCAUCUUAGAAGGGGAGCAGCCUACUAACCAAAAUGUAGCUAGGCGUGCGGGCAUCACGAUCGAGAAGCUGGCGAAACUCAAAGCGAAGACCAGAAAGCCACGAUCAAUGCAGGAUCAAGUCUGGUCCAACGACGCUGUCACCUUCCAGGAGAUCACGGAGGACCCGAACAUCGAUCCGCCGGACCUGGUGGUGGACAGGAUUAUGAUGAGGCAGCAGGUGCGCGAGUUCCUGGGCAUCCUGACCACGAGGGAGAAGGAGAUCAUCGAGCACCGGUUCGGGAUCUACGACGGCGAGCCCAAGACGCUCCACGUGAUCGGGGACAUGUACGGCCUGUCCAAGGAGCGGAUCCGGCAGCUCCAGAACCGGGCGCUGGACAAGCUCAAGAGGAGCGUGUCCACGCAGGGGUUCCACGUCUACUUGGACCUGCUGACCUCCAACGGCUAGCUAGGCAGCGCCUCGUUUGCUCUCGGCUCAAUUGUUCAUUCAUACAAAAGGGAACACACAUGUAUGUAUGUAUGUAUGUAUGUAGCCUAAGAAGCUAGAACCCCACUGACAUGUGCAAGCCUCCUAGCUAGAGCUGAAGCAGAAAACACACAACACACACUUUCAGAGUUUCAGUGCCAUGUUUUUUUGCAGAGUGUAAGUAAUUAAAAAUUUCGCAGCAAAUUAAGAUGGUGGUACAUACUACAUACAUACUGAUACUGCAAUUAAUUUAUUGCAACC